UGCAAGUCGAACGGCAGCACGGACUUCGGUCUGGUGGCGAGUGGCGAACGGGUGAGUAAUGCAUCGGAAUGUACCGUGUAAUGGGGGAUAACUAGCCGAAAGGAUAGCUAAUACCGCAUACGCCCCGAGGGGGAAAGCAGGGGAUCUUCGGACCUUGCGUUAUACGAGCAGCCGAUGUCCGAUUAGCUAGUUGGUAGGGUAAAGGCCUACCAAGGCGACGAUCGGUAGCGGGUCUGAGAGGACGAUCCGCCACACUGGAACUGAGACACGGUCCAGACUCCUACGGGAGGCAGCAGUGGGGAAUUUUGGACAAUGGGCGAAAGCCUGAUCCAGCAAUGCCGCGUGAGUGAAGAAGGCCCUUGGGUUGUAAAGCUCUUUCGGUCGGGAAGAAGGAAGAAUGGCUAAUAUCCAUUCUGACAGACGGUACCGGCAUAAGAAGCACCGGCUAACUACGUGCCAGCAGCCGCGGUAAUACGUAGGGUGCAAGCGUUAAUCGGAAUUACUGGGCGUAAAGGGUGUGUAGGCGGUCUUUUAAGUCUGAUGUGAAAUCCCCGGGCUCAACCUGGGAACUGCGUUGGAAACUGGGAGACUAGAGUACGUAAGAGGGGGGUGGAAUUCCACGUGUAGCAGUGAAAUGCGUAGAGAUGUGGAGGAACACCAAUGGCGAAGGCAGCCCCCUGGGACGAUACUGACGCUGAGGCACGAAAGCGUGGGGAGCAAACAGGAUUAGAUACCCUGGUAGUCCACGCCCUAAACGAUGUCAACUAGUUGUUGGGACCGUCAAGGGUUUCAGUAACGGAGCUAACGCAUGAAGUUGACCGCCUGGGGAGUACGGCCGCAAGGUUAAAACUCAAAGGAAUUGACGGGGACCCGCACAAGCGGUGGAUGAUGUGGAUUAAUUCGAUGCAACGCGAAAAACCUUACCUACCCUUGACAUG
rnacentral:rRNA from 1 species